rnacentral:lncRNA from 1 species
UUCUUCAUUUUGAGUUUGUGGCACUUUAGACAUUUGAACAUAAAAAUCAUCCACUGUCCAUGAUAACACUAAGCUCUUUUAUUUAUACACUUGUUUUUAACUUUGUUCUUUUCCUCAAAAGAAAGCAAGCCUUCAAAAGUUUAAGAUUGUACUUGACAGUGAAUCAUUAUAAGACUUCAAAACAAAUAAUGUGAAAAAAUAAUCAUUAGACCACACCAAAACCUUAUACCCAUGGAUUUUCUCCUUCUUUGCAAUAUCCAGCCCUGUCCCCAUUUACCCCAGCCAGAAAAGUCGUAAACCUUCACAGGAGAUUGUGCCUACCCGUCAAGAACGACACGAACGAAACCGACGUGAAAGGCUAGGCGAGGGGACUCCUCCUCCCUCGCCACACAGCUUAUAGGAGGCAGCACCACCCUAUGCCAAGCCUCGCCCAGAAGCGGAUCACCUCUGAGCGUCUGGUCACUGCGGUUGAGGGGUUCUAAACCAAUACCCCUUGCAGACCGAACAUCCCACCGCCCAGUCCGUCGUACCGUCGCUGCUCCACCACGCACGACCAGAUCUGUCCACCAUCGCCAGACCGAGAGAGAGAGAGGAGAAGAGAAAGAGAACACGACAACCCCUCCACCACUCCGUGUCCGCAUUGGAACCACACUCUGACGCCCUCCGCAGGCCCUGAGACGCUGCCUUCGAAGAGGAGACUCUACCCCUUCUUCCUUUUUCUCUCUAACCUGGCAACCCUUUUGUAACAAGCUUGGUAGUGGGUAGGAGUUACUCUAGUUUUGAGAGAAACAUGGGUUUGGUUUCAUCUUUAAGUAUGUGAUUAAACAAACUGAAACAAAAAAGAUAGGAAAAACACACCCAAAAACGUAAAGAAAAAAACAAUAAGUACAGAGAAAACGCUACAAAAAGAGGAGAAAAAAAACAAUAGCAGCGGAGACACAAAAAACAAGAGAAAAGAUAGUGCCAAAUAGGAGAAUAAGCAAGUAUGCAAGCAACCAUCUGCAUUUUGAGUUUGUGGCACUUUAUACAUUUGAACAUAAAAAACAUCCAUUUCCAUGAUAAUAACACUUGGUUCUUUUAUAUAUACGCUUGUUUUUAACUUUAAGAGUAUCUAUCACAUUUUAAUCCAAAUGAGUAUUGAUGUAUCUAUUUGUAAUAUAUUCAUUAUUCAAUCAUUUAGUCAUAAAAAGGUUAAUAGACUUUUAUCACCUAAUAGUUAAAACUACAAUUAAUUAUAAAAAAUUUAAAACUUAAUAGUGAGGUUAUGAUUCACUAUUAUAUAUUACUUUUCAUUUCAAGGGUCGUGAUCACUUGUAUUGUUUUCGCUAUUUAUCGAAGUGGGAAUAUAGUUGAUGACCUAUGGCGAUUCUUCAUCUAUUCAUUAUUUUUAUAAAGAAAUAAGUUAAUUUAUUUUAAUAUAAAAAUGUUCUAACUAUUAUUUUGGGAUUCAAUAGUGAGGUUACAACUCAUAUUGUGUCUUUCUACUCGCUUCGAGCUGAGAAUCGAUCACGAUCACUUGUACUGCUUCUGUUAUCUAUCAAGAUAAAAAGGGAGUAAGUAAUCAAUAUUGACUCUUCGUCUAUUAGUUACACUUCAAGUAAAUUCAAACAAUUAUAACUUUUUAAAUCCAACCAAAUUACUACGAUUCGGGAUCCACUUACCCCUCAUCCUAGCCACCAAUUCUAUGGACAUCUAAUAGUUAGAUCUACUUAAUAAUUCAAAUCAUUGGAUUUCCCUAGAAUUACUAGCUAGGACGAGGAGUAAGUUUUGAGUAAGUGGAUAUCCACCGCAUUACUAAUUUUUUCUUAAACCUAUAGGUGUAUAGUCUUGAUUUCCUAAAGCAUAUAGGGAUACGUAUGAGCAAUAUUAAUUUUUGUUAGACACAAAAGUAAAUAUUUAACUCAUGCAAUUAGUUAGGGUACUGUUUAAUUACGGAUGAAUGAGGUGUUAACACAUUUCUCAAUCUGGAAUGACUCUCGAACUUAAACUAUGAUAUAAAAGUCCAUUUUAUCCUAAUUUAGACUUAAAUUGAGUUUUUCAUAUUUUAACCGCAAAAAACAUGGUAGCGAUUCUCAAAGAGGUUACGUAACCAAAAAUUAUGGCACAACACUAUGAAAUUGUAUUGGAUUUGCAAUUGAAAGCUAAAAUUCAAUAAACCAAAAUUUAAAAGUUAGGAAUAAACCUAUCCAUCAUGAUAAGUUAAUGACUCAUUGACAAAUCUCUCAUAAACCUAUCCAUCAUGAUAAGUAUGCCUAAUAACAACAUUAAUCAUAAUUUUUGCUAAAAACUUGCUCUAAAAUUUUGGGCAUCCAAGUAAUUGAUACUCAUACAAAUAUAUUGGAUAUUCCAUACUACUACGAAUACUAAAAAAGAAUCUAAUUUAUUCAAAUUUGAGAGAAACCUAAUGCUCACAACCUAUACAUCAUACAUUUGAAAUUCAACAUAUACAAGAUAAAAGAGAGUGAAAAUAUAUUUAUUUAUCUUAUUCAUAAGGACUAAACCAUUGCUUCUCGAUGAUUAAUAUUACUUGCUUUGGAUUACUGGUACAAGAUUAAUUAGACAAGAAAAUAUUAGAAAUAAGAUAAAAUUGAAAAGAAAAGGCUGCAAAAUUGGAUAUAUUGAAGAAUUAGUGUAAAAGAUGAGGCAAUAUCAGCCAUAAAUGGGAAAAAUAAACUGUAUAAAAGGGGGGGAUAAAAAGUGUAAGAUAAAUGAACACAAAGAACUAAAUGUCAAUUAUAAAUAACAUUCAAAAUCAAACAGAAUAUAAAAGAAUCAAAACGAAUAUCAACAAAAAUAAAAAAAAAUAGAGUAAUAUCAACAAGAAGGGAAAGCAUUUACGAUUAGAAUCGGCUAUUACAUUUAACAUUUACGAGAAGAGAAAAAUAGAAUAAACUAUAUAUUUAAAGUUUAUUACCUUAAAUGAACAGAAUGAAUCGAUGAUUAAAUAAAUAGAUAAAAUGUUAAAAAUAGAAUGAAUGGAGGAUUUGAGUGAAGGAAGAAUACAAGAGUUCUUACUUGACAACCGUGAAUGGAGCAUUUGAAGGUAUUUGAGUGAAACCGUAUGAAUUUAUUUGAAGAGAUUUGAGUAAGGGAUUUGUAUUUGACUUAGAUGAUGCUGGAAGUGGAUAUAGAUGAAGAGUUUUUUUCAUUUUGGAAAAAUACGAGGGAUUUGUAUGU